GCGCCUGUAGCUCAACUGGAUAGAGCACCGGCCUUCUAAGCCGGUGGUUGCAGGUUCGAGCCCUGCCAGGCGCG
rnacentral:tRNA from 1 species